CAAAAAUAAAUAAACGUCAAAAAAAAUAAGAAAAAGAAAAAAGACCUGCGACCCAGGGUGGUAGAGGCUGUGGGUCCCUAGAGUGGAUAUGGGAGAGCAUCAUGGGAAGCACAGAAGAGGGAGGUGCACUUCUCAGUCAGAACAGGGCUGCUCUGUGUGAGAGAGACAGUCCAGGAACGGAAACAAGACGCAGCCAUCGGAAUCCCCAACCACCCACAAAACCAGUCUACUCCAUCCGACUGUGGGUGCCUGAGGUCUUCACGACACUCCUUGGGGGAGGCCCCAUUCCUGUCCCCAGCCUGCCUCUUGAGAGAGGGUCACGGGGCAGCCUCGGAUAACUCCUCCGCAAGCACCUGUCCACGGUUGGAUGGAAAAUGUCCACCCAGGGGGCCAGCCACAAAAGGGGGCAGGGGUGGGGGCAGAACCCAGGCCCCCUUUCUUGGUCCAGCGCCCCCACCGCGUUCCAGCCUGAGCUCCCAGCAGGGCCUGCUGCCCCGGAAGGGAAGGGAAGGGGACGGCUUGAGGAUGCAGGUGACUGGAGUGACAGGUGACAGGUGCUUCGGGGAGCCAGCAGCCUCGUGCGUGCCACACCUCUCGCUCUAUUUCCUAGGAAGCCGACAGCCCCGGGCUCUCUCUGCUUCCAAGGCCUUACAGAACCUUCCAGACCAGCCCCAGCCUUCUGCAGCUGAGGACAAGAAGCAGAGCAUCCCGGGUGUCCCAGAUGCCAUUCGGGGUGGCUGGUUAACGCCUUACCCUCCCUGCAGCCAAACCCCCGGCCUCUGGAAGAGACAGCAAAUCAUGAAUUCUAACCCAGGCCACACGCUCAGUGCCCACUUCUACUUGGGGUUAUCUGAGACCCCUCUUCUCCCGCUUUGCGGCUUUCACGGAAAAUAACUACUUUGAACCAAAGCCCUAGCAUCUAGGUGGAGCCCCAAAAGGGCAGGAAGGUACCGCCCCUGGCUUUGGAGGCCAGUGGAGGCCCACAGCACAUCCAUCACAGCCCCGGGGACACAGUGGUUCAAUGGCUGCCCUGGGCCGGCCACGUCAACGCCCGCCCGCACACAAACGUGAAAGACAACACAAGUUCCCAGCAACCCUGCCCGGCGAGCAGGAAGCCCUCAAAACGCCCUGCGUCCAGGUCUCCAGGAUCACAGCAGUCGCUGCUCAUUUUCCACCCACGGCAAAGAAAAAAGCCUUUAACUCUUGGGUUUGCUUUUUCCCAGAAGAGGAAACCGGCUGGGAGAGGCUCACGUGGCCAGGAAGACGUGGGGAGAGUCCUCCUGAUCCAACAUGUAGAGGGUGCCAGGGAGGUGCCUCACCUGUGAGUCCGUCCCAUCACCCCAACGACUGCGGGGACCCCUCUGGACAGGCCUGACUCACCUGUAGCUCUAAAAGCACACCUUCCCCACUGUUGUCGCCCUGGCACCAUAUUAGUGCAUUUGUGACAACGGAUGAGCCCACGCCGACCCAUCAUUAUCCCCCAGAGCCCGCGCUUUCCAUCAAGGCGCCCUACGGUGUGGUGCGGUCUGCGGUUUCGACAAAUGGAGACAGCUAUGGAUCUACCUUUUUGGCGUCACUCGGAGCGUGUCACUGCCCUAAAAAUCCUCUGUGCCCCACCGAUUCAUCCCUCCUGCCCUCCCUGUCUCCUCCUGGCCCCAUAGCUCCUUUCCUUUCAGUGCUGGCUGACCGUCCACGGUCUGGCUGGGCCACGGGUUCAUCCAUUCACCUACUGGCCGAAGAAGAUCCGCGGCGCUUCCGGGUUUUGGCAAUGGUGAAUAAAGCCGCUACAAGCUGUGUCUGUGUGCACACAAGGUUUCUGCGUGGGCCUAAGCUUCCAACUCCUCUGGGGGAAGACCAGGGAGCACGAUUUCUGGAUGGCACGGGAAGGGUAUGUUCAGUUUCGCAGAAACCGCCGAACUGCCUUCCAAAGUGGUCGCAGCAUUCCGCACGCCCACCAGCCGUGAGCCAGAGCUCCUGCUACUCCGGGUCCCCGCCAGCGUCAGGCGUUGUCGGCGCUCUGGAUUCGCGUCCUUCUGGUAGGUGUGGAGCGAUCCCUCGUGGUUGUUUCCAUUGGCAUCUCCCCGGUGACGUACGACGUGGAGCAUCUUUCCAUGUGCUUAUCUGUCAUGUCUGCGAAGGUCGUUGGCCCAUUUUUUUUAAUGUCUAUUUCUUUUGAGAGACAGAGGGAAACAGCAUGUGCGAGUAGGGGAGGAGCAGAGAGAGAGGGAGACAGAGAACCUCAAGCAGGCAGCGCAGAGCCGGGCGCAGGGCUCAAUCCCACAAAUGGUGAGAUCAUGACCUGAGACGAAACCGAGAGUCUGAUGCUCAACCGACUGAGCCACCCAGGCGCCCUGCCCCCCCCUUUUUUUUAAUAUUUAUUUAGUUUUCACAUACACACACACACACACACACACAGAGUGCAGCAGGGGUGGGGCAGAGAGAGAGGGAGACACAGAUUCUGAAGCAGGCUCCAGGCCCUGAGCUGUCAGCACAGAGCCCAACGCGGGGCUCGAACUCAUGGACCUCAAGAUCAUGACCUGAGCUACACUCAGACGCUUAACCGACUGAGCCACUUAGGCGCCCCAGCCGGCCCAUUUUUUAAUCAAGUUGUUGCUUUUGUUAUAGUUGAGUUUAAAGAGUUCUCUGUGUAUUUUGGGUAACAGCCCUUUAUCAUGUGCAUACACUAGAUCCAUCAAGGUCCCAGUAGAAAACAGACUGGACACUCGAGCUGGGACCUUAAAGAGGCCUAUUAAAGAGACUGUGAACAGGAUAUGGGCAGAGUUGCAGAAGACCCACAGGUGGUGGUGAGGAGACCAGCACCAGCCAGAGGAGGGGCCAAGGCCAGCCUGGGCUGGGGGGAAAGGAGAGGGGACAGCAGCCUGAGCCCAGCUGCAGGAGGCAGGGCAUCAGCCCCCACAGGUGUCCACAUCCUAAUCCCCGGAACCUGUAACUAUGUUACAUCCUGGAGGUCACAUUACACCUUCUGCCACAUCACACGGCAAGGGGAAAUGAGGGCUGCGGUGCAGUGAGGGUUGCUGGUCGGCUGGGCUUAAAAUGGGGAGGCUGUUCCGGAUUAUCUCCAAACAACCACCUGAAUAGUUGCCCCGGGCUUCUCCUGCUUUGCCACUGCAGAGCUUGGAGCACGUCUGACGCCCCUGCCUGUCCCCGCAGUCUCUGUCCUUGCUGUGUGCAUCCAGGUGGGCCCGA